ACGGGUCGUGAAUAGCCAAUCCCAGCCCGCCAUUUCAUCCGGGACCUCAAGAUGACCACACUGAUACAAUAUAGUUUAAUUUCCAGCCAAGAUCAGAGUUAACCGAGACAUAUAUGGUGGAUAAAAAGCUCUUAAAAAUAUGGGUGUUCCGAGGAAAGUAUACCACUAGGGAAUGUGGGUUACAUUAGUAAUGGAGGAAUAUUUUGACAGCAGACGAAACUAAAGUGUUGCCAUGGUGACGGUGGUGGUGGGCAUGAUACAGAUGCAGGAGGUGGAGUUUUGUGCCCGAUGGAGACAUGCAGCUGGACAAAUUGUGUUGGUCAUUGCUCAGAUUGGAGUUUACAUGUGUACCUCCUUCACCAUCAUUGGUGGACACUUCACCAUGAGUGAUGCUUGAGCUGUCACGGUGCUGCUGCUGCUGUCUGCCAUCAUCCCCCUGACACAGACCAUCCUGCAGACCAUCUUCAUCCUGGGUGCCACACGUCGCUGCUGCUACAACUCAGAGCAACUGGAGCGCAAGCCAGGAAGGGAGAUGUGUUGCCAUGGUGACGGUGGUGGUGGGCAUGACACAGAUGCAGGAGGUGGAGUUUGUGCCCGAUGGAGACAUGCAGCUGGACAAAUUGUGUUGGUCAUUGCUCAGAUUGGAGUUUACAUGUGUACCUCCUUCACCAUCAUUGGUGGACACUUCACCAUGAGUGAUGCUUGAGCUGUCACGGUGCUGCUGCUGCUGUCUGCCAUCAUCCCCCUGACACAGACCACCCUGCAGACCACCUUCAUCCUGGGUGCCACACAUUUAUGGUAUCAUUCAAAAUGUCCUUCAAAGAAACCCCUUUGUAAUCCAACACACUUAGCCCAUUAAUCCUUCCAUUUCUCAUCAAUUUGUUCAACAUUCAUAUUUUUCCCUUAUAGGGUUGAACAAUUUUCAUGGGUUCAGAGCAAAAGGCUUCCUCAUUUUUCCCCAAGGUAUUCUCGGAUGGUAAGCAGGUUUGACUCUGGAGCAAACCUGACCAAGGGCUACUGCCCAAGGCUACAGAGGUUCCUCUCCCUGAGGCUGAAUGCACCAUGUGAGAUGGUUCUGUUAUGUGGAUGAAUGUCAUGGUGGAUAGCAGUGCCACCACAUUCCUACAAUCAUCCAUCACUCCACUGCUCAAACGCUUCUGCAACCAAUGAUAGGUAUGCUGCCACAUUCUGCAUGGUCUCCUUGGCUCUCAGAUAAGGAUACUGUCAACAGGCUUGGGAUUGCCAAAAAAUCAUAAGGAGCUAUGUCUGAAAAGUCCAGAGAGAGAGAGAGCGCGAGAGAGAGAGAGAGAGAGAGAAAGAAUGAGCAAGAGAAAGAGUAGGAUGAAGCAAAGGAAGAGUCAAGAGAGAGGAAGAGAGAGUAGGACAAGAAAAAACAGAACAAAUAAAUCCCCUACACGUCUUGUCUCCAUUCACACAAGCCAUGAAAAGCUUGUCCAUCCCUGAGUGCUCAGAAGCAGUGUUCCACUGAUGAUGUGGAAACUUGAGACACCCAAUCAUUUAAUGGGCUUUAGUAGGUUUUGUCACCAGUCUUCUGUGUGUCACUGAC